GUGGGGAAUUUUGCGCAAUGGGCGAAAGCCUGACGCAGCAACGCCGCGUGCGGGAUGAAGGCCUUCGGGUUGUAAACCGCUUUCAGCAGGGAUGAAACUGACAGUACCUGCAGAAGAAGCCCCGGCUAACUACGUGCCAGCAGCCGCGGUAAUACGUAGGGGGCAAGCGUUAUCCGGAUUCAUUGGGCGUAAAGAGCGCGUAGGCGGCUUGUUAAGCGAGAUGUGAAAACCGGGGGCUUAACCCGCGGCCUGCAUCUCGAACUGGCAGGCUUGAGUCUGGUAGAGGAGUGUGGAAUUCCCAGUGUAGCGGUGAAAUGCGCAGAUAUUGGGAGGAACACCAGUGGCGAAGGCGGCACUCUGGGCCACGACUGACGCUGAGGCGCGAAAGCUAGGGGAGCAAACAGGAUUAGAUACCCGGGUAGUCC
rnacentral:rRNA from 1 species